rnacentral:siRNA from 1 species
CUAACCUAGAACCCACAAAGGG